rnacentral:sRNA from 1 species
CACCGCCCGUCACACCCUGGGAAUAGGUUUCGCCCGAAGCAUCGGACCAAUGAUCACCCAUGACUUCUGUGUACCACUAGUGCCACAAAGGCUUUUGGUGGUCUUAUUGGCGCAUACCACGGUGGAGUCUUCGACUGGGGUGAAGUCGUAACAAGGUAGCCGUAGGGGAACCUGUGGCUG